UACGAAGGGUGCAAACGUUGCUCGGAAUUAUUGGGCGUAAAGCGCACGUAGGCGGUAUUGCAAGUCGGAUGUGAAAUCCCUCGGCUUAACCAAGGAAGUGCAUCCGAAACUGCUGUACUUGAGUACGAAAGAGGAUCGCGGAAUUCCCGGUGUAGAGGUGAAAUUCGUAGAUAUCGGGAGGAACACCAGUGGCGAAGGCGGCGAUCUGGGUCGAUACUGACGCUGAGGUGCGAAAGCGUGGGGAGCGAACAGG
rnacentral:rRNA from 1 species